AUGGAGGCCGUCCGCCGGAGGAAACCUGGCACGUCUCCGGUCGAAGACAAGGCUGUCCAUGGCGCCAGACCUCCUUCAGUAACCACGGCUGACGACGGGCAGUGGAGCCACGGCCGGCGACGGGCGGUGGAGCCACGGCCGGCGACGGGCGGUGGAGCCACGGCCGGCGACGGGCGGUGGAGCCACGGCAGGCGACGGACGGUCGAGCCACGGCCGGCGACGGGCGGGGCAGCGGCCACGCCUGAGACCGACGGGGGAGACAAGACGAGGCUGCCGCCCUCGCCAGAGACCGAGCUCACGGCCACGCUUGCGCCGCCCAUGGCUGCCAGCAAUACGUACUGCGGCGGGGAUUUGGUCGAAGGAGUGUGGUCGGCGGCGGGGAUUUGGUUGAGCGCCCGCUGGCUGCUGGGAGUGUGGCGAGAGGUAGGGAUUUGA
rnacentral:rRNA from 1 species